rnacentral:rRNA from 1 species
GAUGAACCACCCAAACGUUAUUCGGAAUUACUGGGCUUAAAGGGUGCGUAGGCGGUGCGGAAAGUUGGGUGUGAAAUACCUCAGCUUAACUGAGGAAUGGCGCUCAAAACUACCGUGCUCGAGGGAGAUAGAGGUGAGCGGAACUUAGGGUGGAGCGGUGAAAUGCGUUGAUAUCCUAAGGAACACCGGUGGCGAAAGCGGCUCACUGGAUCUCUUCUGACGCUGAGGCACGAAAGCUAGGGUAGCGAACGGG